rnacentral:lncRNA from 1 species
UGCUCUGAGCAGAAAGGGGCCAGCUGGUCACCAAUUUCUAUAUAAUAACCCUUCAUAUCUUCAAAGACUGUUAUUAAAUCUCUCCUCGGCUGCCUCCUGUCCAACUAAAUAAUUCCUGCCCCUUUCACCUUUCUCCACAGGUCCAGUUUUUCCCCUCUGUGCAGCAUCGUUCAGAGCCCCUCCAUCUUCUCCAGCAGGAGAUCAGGAAGACCAGGGGUCAUGAGGGCUAUGACUAGCUAAUGGAUGAGGGCGAAGGGCAGCUGGUGGGGGGGGGCGUGCCAUUCUCUCUUGCCCCUGGGUCUUGGGGGCACAGCCUCAGCUUCUUUCUGAGUUGCCGCUACCCUAGAAAAAUGUCUUUUCCACCAAGGGACAGCCUUGGCACCCAUCUUUUCUCCCCUUCCUCUCACUUCCGGCUCUGCCCUUCCCUGUGCUGACCGUGGCCAUCUGGCACCCUCCACUGGGUUCAGAUACGCCAAAGAAGACAAGUAGAGAGCUGAAACAGGCAACAAGAGCAACAAAUAACAAGGACAGCUGACAUUGUUCACCAGCUGCCAGCUAACUGCGUGCUUUAUCUCAGUUCUUCAGACAACCUGAUUGUCCUCAUUUCACGCAAGGAGAUUCUAAAGCUCAGCGACAGAGCCUGUAAGACACUUGUCUGAGACCACAUGUAGGAGGUGGUAUGGCCAGAAUUGAAAGCCAGGGAGCGGGGCUUCCAAUGCAGUGUUUUUAACACUGACCAUCUCACUCUACUUAUUUUGCAGAAAGCGAAUCAAAGAUGCGGGAAGAGCCCACAGUGGGAUUAUUAGGAGCAGGUUAUUGCCAUGGACAACUGGGGCCAAAGAAAGGGACACCAAGGGAGCAGUUACAGAGGCAGGAGAGGAAGCAGAAGGAAGAGUCUCAAGAAGGAGGAUAAUCAAUGUCAAAUGUGCAGAAAGGCCAAAUAUAAUUUUUCUGUGUCUGUCUUCCAUCCAGGCCCAAGGUCUCUUCCUCACCUUGGUUUGGCAACCCUUUCAUUGAAGAUGCCCCAAAAUAUGUGUCAUUGGAUGUCAUUCAUUCAUUAA